GUGAGGCCUUCGGACUGGCUCAGGGAGGUCGGCAACGACCACCCAGAGCCGGAAAGUUGGUCAAACUCGGUCAUUUAGAGGAAGUAAAAGUCGUAACAAGGUCUCCGUAGGUGAACCUGCGGAGGGAUCAUUA
rnacentral:rRNA from 1 species